rnacentral:lncRNA from 1 species
GAAGGCAUUCAAACAAAAUGGCCGACCAACCCCAAAAGAAAGUUGAUUUGGGACUUCUUGAAGAAGAUGACGAAUUUGAAGAAUUUCCAACAGAUGAUUGGACGGAAGCAGAAGAAACGCAAGAAGAAAAUGUGUGGGAAGAUAACUGGGAUGAUGAUAAUGUGGAGGACGAUUUCUCACAACAGCUCAGGGCAGAGUUGGAGAAACAAGGACACAAGGAAGAGCCCAUGAAGACAUAGAACCACUAAAAGGAUGUCAGUAAACUUUGUGUAGUUUUCAUCAAGACCAAAAAUUGCCUGCAAUCAUUUACGUGACAUAUAUAACAUUAGUCAUGAGUUUUGAAAUGUGAUAAAACAUUAGAAGAAAGAAAGAGCAAAGGAAGACAAGGAUGGAGAUAUUUGUGGUAGCAUGGAUAUUCAAUGGACUACCUUGUCAUGUGCACUAGAUUGUUGGAUUAUGGAGGUUGUAAAAUAAAAAAUGCUCGGACAAGGCACACACAUGUACUCUGUGUACAGCUGAUGCUGUUUGAUAUAAAAGUGCAACUGAUUGCAUCAGAAAGAUUUGUAUUUUUUUUUUACACUCAAUUUUACACUGAAUUAUCAUUUAAAUAAAUAAUAUUAUGUGGUUGGAAAUGAUCACUUUUUGU